rnacentral:rRNA from 1 species
GAUGAACGCUAGCGGCAGGCCUAAUACAUGCAAGUCGAACGAGAUUAAGGACUUCGGUCUCUAUGAAAGUGGCGCACGGGUGCGUAACACGUAUGCAACCUACCUUCAAUUGGGGGAUAGCCUUCCGAAAGGGAGAUUAAUACCGCAUAAAACAGCAGAAUGGCAUCAUUUAACUGGUAAAACUCCGGUGAUUGAAGAUGGGCAUGCGUUGCAUUAGCUAGUUGGUAAGGUAACGGCUUACCAAGGCUACGAUGCAUCGGGGAUCUGAGAGGAUGGUCCCCCAUGCUGGUACUGAGAUACGGACCAGACUCCUACGGGAGGCAGCAGUAAGGAAUAUUGGUCAAUGGACGCAAGUCUGAACCAGCCAUGCCGCGUGCAGGAUGACGGCCCUAUGGGUUGUAAACUGCUUUUGUCAGGGAAUAAAUCAUUUUACGUGUAAGAUGUUGAAGGUACCUGAAGAAUAAGGAUCGGCUAACUCCGUGCCAGCAGCCGCCGUAA